rnacentral:rRNA from 1 species
AACGAACGCUGGCGGCAGGCCUAACACAUGCAAGUCGAGCGAGGACUUCGGUCCUAGCGGCGGACGGGUGAGUAACGCGUGGGAACGUGCCCUUUGCUUCGGAAUAGCACUGGGAAACUGGGAGUAAUACCGGGUGAGCCCUGUGGGGGCAAGAUAUAUCGUCGAAGGAUCAGCCCGCGUUGUAUUAGGUAGUGGGUGGUGUAAUGGCCUACCAAGGCGAGGCUCCAUAGCUGGUUUGAGAGGAUGAUCAGCCACACUGCGACUAAGAAACGGUCCAGACUCUUAGGGGAGGCGGGAGAGGGGAAUCUUAGCAAAUCGGGGAAACGAUGAUCUCGCCAUGCCGCGUGAGCGAUGAAGGCGUUAGGGAUGUACAGCUCUUUAAGACGCGAAGAUAAUGACGGUACCAGAAGAAGAAGCCCCGGCUAACUCCGUG